rnacentral:rRNA from 1 species
UACGUAGGGGGCAAGCGUUGUCCGGAAUCAUUGGGCGUAAAGCGCGUGUAGGCGGCCAGAUAAGUCCGUUCUGAAAGCCCGGGGCUCAACCCCGGGAGGCGGAUGGAUACUGUUUGGCUCGAGUCCGGAAGAGGCGAGUGGAAUUCCCGGUGUAGCGGUGAAAUGCGCAGAUAUCGGGAGGAACACCAAUGGCGAAGGCAGCUCGCUGGGACGGUACUGACGCUGAGGCGCGAAAAGCUAGGGGGAGCAAACGGGGAUUAGA